rnacentral:rRNA from 1 species
CUACGGGCUGCUGCAGCUAAGAAUCUUCCGCAAUGGGCGAAAGCCUGACGGAGCGACGCCGCGUGGGUGAAGAAGGCCGAGAGGUUGUAAAGCCCUUUUCUGCUUGAGGAAUAAGCAUCGGAGGGAAUGCCGGUGUGAUGACGGUAGGGCAGGAAUAAGCCCCGGCUAAUUACGUGCCAGCAGCCGCGGUAACACGUAUGGGGCGCGCGUUGUUCGGAAUCAUUGGGCGUAAAGGGCGGGUAGGCGGAAAUGCAAGUCUGGUGUGAAAGACCGCAGCUCAACUGCGGGACCGCGCUGGAAACUGCAUAUCUUGAGUUCCGGAGGGGGAGUUGGAAUUCCUGGUGUAGGGGUGAAAUCUGUUGAUAUCAGGAAGAACACCGGUGGCGAAGGCGAACUCCUGGACGAGAACUGACGCUGAGGCGCGAAAGCGUGGGGAGCGAACAGGAUUAGAUACCCCCGUAGUC